AUGACCUGGUCCUGUCUCCUCUUCACAUUCCUUGUUCAGUGUACAGGGUCCUGGGCCCAGUCUGUACUAACGCAGCAGCCCUCACUCUCUGGGACUCCAGGACAGAGCAUCACCAUCUCCUGCACUGGAAGCAGCACCAAUAUUGGUACCUAUAUUGUAAACUGGUAUCAGCAGUUCCCCCAAACAGCCCCUAAACUCCUCAUCUAUGGUGAUAGUAAUCGACCCUCAGGGGUCUCUGAUCGCUUCUCUGGMUCCAAGUCUGGCAACUCUGCUUCACUGAUCAUCACUGGGCUUCAGCCUGAGGAUGAGGCUCUCUAUUACUGUCAGUCUUAUGACCGUAGCCUUGAUGCUCGCACAGUGCUCCAGACUCAUGGGGAAGUAAGAAAAAAUAACCCUUUACCAUCUGUCAGGAGAGCAAUCACCAAGAAGCUUUGCUCAGGCUUGUUUUUUUGCUUUUUCUGCUACCAGUAG